rnacentral:tRNA from 1 species
ACGGGUUUAGCUCAGUUGGUAGAGCACUGGUCUCCAAAACCAGGUGUCGGGAGUUCGAGUCUCUCAAUCCGUGCAA